GCACUGCUGAGGAGUCCCACAAUUGGACGAAGUGGCCAUCCAGUGC
rfam:Schistosoma rodhaini strain Burundi genome assembly, scaffold: SROB_scaffold0007357